rnacentral:tRNA from 1 species
UCCCUGGUGGUCCAGUGGUUAGGACUCUGUGCUUCUGAUGCAGGAAGUGCAGGUUCUAUCCCUGGUCAGGAGA